GCACCGCAGCUAUGCCAUGAAUGGCGUCGCUGUGGGGCAGGCGUCAGCCCCGGGAGGCGCCUCCCUCUUCGUAACUGAACCGGAGUGUGAAAAAAGGAAGAGAGAGGCGCACUUCGGCCCCGCGGCCCCGCAAGUGUGUCUACUCAGAAGUAAGACCAUUGAGUUCAGCGGGGUUUGCGCUCAGGACUUCUAGGUGUCGGUGUUAUUGGUUUUUGAAUAAAGAAACAGAACUUGAUUGGACAAUUAGUUCCGAUUUAGCACAUAAUGCUCCUUAGGCGAAAGCUGAUCAUUCUCAUUUAUGUUCGCGUUGGGGAGGAUGCAGAAUCCAGGGCAAGCCUUUACUUCAAACAGGAUCAAGUGGGAAAGUUCGCUGUUGUUGCUUGUCCAGGACUGCGCCACUUCUAAAAGCCUGGGAAAUGUGUGCGUGUCUCUUAGUGCCCAACAACAACAACGUCAUGUGUGCCUGGAAAACUAACAUGACAGGAAUAUGGCUAGGUUGAACACUGAUGCUUUUCUACGUGCAGGAAGCCUCUUUUUUUUAAGGGGGGUGUAUUCAAAUGUGCAACUGCAACAGAAUCUGCUAAAUGUGUGAACUGGUGCUUUAUAAGGAAACCAGUAAGUGGAGUCUAAUCUGGAGACCCUGCAACGAUGGUCUGUGAAGGCUGCUAUGAAUCCAUGAUGCAUCUGUCUUCCAGAGUAGUCCCAUUAGGAGGAACGCAACUGAUCCACAGUAAGUAGUUUGUGCGUGGCAGCCGAAAGAGUUAUUGCAGCUGCUAUUGAAGAAAAUGAACCAAAAAGCAGCCUUAUUUCUGCCUCCCAGACUCUUCUAUAUUCUUACAUUUAAAGAUGUUUGAGUUAAUAUCCCGUGAGACUCCAGAAUUCUGCUGUAGUUAUAUUAGUCCAACACUUGCCAAAUCAGUGUUGCUACUUGAACUUUAUCCCUCUCCUUCAACUUGCCUGAGGAGUUGGUAGGGGGGCAGGGGGGUGGGAUGACAGAGGUACUUACAAAAAGAUGUGAUAAUACAGAAUUGCAAAAUGACAUUUGAAGUCAUUCUGGAUCAUGAGGACAGACCAAUUGCCCUCCUCCACCUAAAUCCCCCCCCCCGCAAGAACAGGUAAUUGUUUACACUUCAGCAUGAUAUGGCUUGACCUUACAGCUGAGUGGGGAUUUAAAACAUGGCCUCUAGUCCCAGGAGUGGCUCACCAGGAACUGAUGCUUACCAGGAAGAGGAGUGAGGUGGUGUUGAGUCUGGGGCUGUAUAGACACAUUUGUGCAUGCACCAGGAUGGUUCUGCUGGUAUGUCUGCCUGGCCCCAACCUUGCUGUCAUCUCAUCCUGUUCCUCCCUCUCCUGGUGAGUAGCAGUGACCCCGCUUCUGGGAAGCUAUGGCUGCUCACCGCCCUACCAAACAAGCCAUUCCUGUGCAGUUCAAGUCCACCACUCUAAUCACUGCACCACACUGACUCAUAAUACAAAAAAAUAAAAAAUUGCAGCUCCCACAGGCCUAAAUUCUAAUGGCCUUGUGCCAGGGAGGCAAAAAUAGUACAUUUCCAAAUUUCCUCCUAGGUGCAGUUUUCAUGCAGUCCCUGGCAAACUCCUGGAAAUUUAGAGGGACUUCUGAAGAACCUGUGCAGUGCAUGAUAUUUUGAGCAAAGGUGAGGUGAGGAGAGAAGCAGAAGCCCUUGUCCAAGUCCUUACGUGCUCCUUGUGAUUUUAUCACAGUCAAUGUGGUUAAAAAAACAACAGCCCUUCUUGGUUAAUGAGCAUUACCUUCUGACAUUUCAGAAAGUCUUUGCAGAUGGACUUUUUUUGCAUUUGAAAAUUGCCAGCCGUAAGAGUGUUCAGCUGCCAGAGCCAUGUAACUCUCAUUCUAAAGGAACUACAUUGACGCCCUGUUUGCUGCUGAACUCAAUUCAGGGUGCUGGGGCUCACCUUUAAUUCCCCGACAGGACAAUUAUGUACACUAGAAACUGGUGUAAUGCUAAGCUAAGCUGGAGUAAAACACACCACGCUCAAACACCAGUCUAGAACCAGCCUGAGCUUGGCAGAGGGAAAACAAGCCUUUCAAAUAGUGUUUGCCAUCCUUUUUUCCAGCUAAACUUGCACUGAGUUCCCAGGUGACAUGAAAGAACUGAAUGGGCUUAGGGUCCAGGCUUUGUCCCCCUUUUCCUCAUCUUGCCCCCGCCAUGACCCCAGAAGGGCUCUUUUCAGGUCUUACACCAGCUUAAGAUCUUCCAGGCUCCGCUCAGCUGGAGAUAUGUUGCUGAGCUGAGGAUGGGGAGUUAGUAAAAGGCAAAAGAUUUAUACAAUCUUAAAAGAAACCAGAGUUACUUACACUGGUGUAGUCCAGCUGCACCGGGAACCUCCUGGCAGAGCCAAAGAUCUAAUGGAUUCUAACCCUGUUUAUCCUGGCUUAUCUUCCUGUAGGAUUGCUCCCUAAAUGAUUUGGGGCCAAAAUAUCUAAAAAAAAUAAUCUAUACCUCCAUACGUCAUGCAUUCUUUUUGGCUCCAGGUUAUAAUCUUUGUACUAACCCAGCAUUCUAGAUGUAGGUAUGUGUUGCUGAUGGAAUGAUUAUAUUCCUCUUCCAUUUAUUGUACAACUCAUUUGUUUGCUUCGUAAUGUCCUUGUAAUUGUAAAUGGCUUUGUUUGCUGUCUUGAAAUCCACUAUUGCACCAAGAGUAUUUCAUCAUUUGAAAAAUAAAUAAACAAAUUUAAAUAAA